UACGGGGGGGGGCAAGCGUUGUUCGGAAUUACUGGGCGUAAAGGGCUCGUAGGCGGCCAACUAAGUCAGACGUGAAAUCCCUCGGCUUAACCGGGGAACUGCGUCUGAUACUGGAUGGCUUGAGUUUGGGAGAGGGAUGCGGAAUUCCAGGUGUAGCGGUGAAAUGCGUAGAUAUUCGGAGGAACACCAGUGGCGAAGGCGGCAUCCUGGACCGACACUGACGCUGAGGAGCGAAAGCCAGGGGAGCAAACGG
rnacentral:rRNA from 1 species